CUACGGGAGGCACCAGUAGGGAAUCUUCCACAAUGGGCGAAAGCCUGAUGGAGCAACGCCGCGUGAGUGAAGAAGGUUUUCGGAUCGUAAAACUCUGUUGUAAGGGAAGAACAAGUACAGUAGUAACUGGCUGUACCUUGACGGUACCUUAUUAGAAAGCCACGGCUAACUACGUGCCAGCAGCCGCGGUAAUACGUAGGUGGCAAGCGUUGUCCGGAAUUAUUGGGCGUAAAGCGCGCGCAGGCGGUCCUUUAAGUCUGAUGUGAAAGCCCACGGCUCAACCGUGGAGGGUCAUUGGAAACUGGGGGACGUGAGUGCAGAAGAGGAAAGUGGAAUUCCAAGUGUAGCGGUGAAAUGCGUAGAGAUUUGGAGGAACACCAGUGGCGAAGGCGACUUUCUGGUCUGUAACUGACGCUGAGGCGCGAAAGCGUGGGGAGCAAACAGGAUUAGAUACCCUGGUAGUC
rnacentral:rRNA from 1 species